CUGCGAGCAUAGCAAUGCAAGAAAAAAUAUUGGUAUCUCUAAAGCAUACGUUCAACAAUCUCGGCCGAGCAUGCCAUAAGGCUCAUUUCUCGUUUCUUAUGCAUGCAUUAUAAUAGCCUGAAUGAACCGUAUUGCACUCCAUUCCUUUACCUAAGAAACUAAUUAUUGCGUCAUCUGUUUCUCGAUAUUGUUGUGUUUCAUUACUACUGUCAACAAUACGCUUUCGUCAGUGUCUAAUGAAUAGAUUUGUGAACCACUUGUAGAAGAAGUGCGUCGUAAAGUAGAUAAUAUUGUGCUGUUAAGAAACAUUUUAGAAUAUCACAGGUACUUAUUUUAUUUAAGAAUUAUUAAGAAAUCUGUGAUACUGCCCUCUAAUCUCUCCAUUUUAUCUCUGAUUAAAUUUAUCAUUGGUGUUGGACACUGAGGUCUCUUACAGUUGAACAAAGUUUGAGGAGAUGGAGUUAAACGAACAUUGCAGCUGUUAUCAUCUUGACGACAAGUGCACGUGCACCGAAACAUUGGUCUAUCUGAACGAGUUGAGAGAGGAGAACCUCUUUUGUGACGCGGUGUUGAGGUUGGAGGACGGCGGCGUCUUUCGAGUCCACAGAGUGAUUCUGUCGAAGCGUAGCAGAUAUUUCAGGACACUCUUCACGACAACACUGCACACCGAUGAGAAGACUGAUAUCCUCCUCCACGGAAUUAGCUCUGACGUGAUGACCCAGAUACUGGAUUAUGUUUAUCUGCGAAAGGUGGACAUCAACAGCGACAACGCUUGUCGGCUCCUCGUGACGGCUGAUUACUUAUGUAUUCCGGACGUUCCUAAACUCUGCUGCGACUUCAUCAAGGUCCAGAUAAACCCCGACAACUGUAUCGGAAUCAUGCAGUUCGCAAGGUAAUAGAUGUUCAUUUGUCAUUUGCUGUGACGCCAGCUUUGAUCAAGAGAGCAGCCGAUUGCCGGGUCGGAGAUUAAAACCUCUGACUUACGGGCAAAUUACAAUGCGUUGGCAGGUUGUUAUUAAUGUCUAUGCAAUUUAAAUGUUUCUGCACAAAGUAAAACCUCUGUUAACCGACCCUCGAUUAUCCGAUUCUCGCAUUAAGCGACCGAAUUUCAACCAGAUCGGUUGCGAUCGGUUUCCACCGGCGAGAGUGUUUAAAGCGAUGUCCACGUGGUACAGGGACUUCCUCGAACAGCACCCACGAGUAAUUUUUGCAGUCGGCUUGUGCGUGCGAAACGAAUGCAUCAUCCGAGGAAAAUCUGUAUUGGGUAUCUACUUAUUUGUUCAAAUCCAUGACCACGUUCCCCUCUACCUCGCUCAUUCGACUUAUCGGCUUAUCCGACCGAUGGUCCCCCCAUAUAAUCCGGUUAAACGAGGUUUCACUGGAUUAACACACACAGUUAACACAACGUCGUAUCGCGAAGGUUAAUGCCAGAAUUCAAAAUUUUACACUUCUGAAUUCACUGCCUUCUUCACUUGCGUACGCCAUGCCUUUUUUUAAACCUUAAACUUUAUCACGAAGACGAGCGGACAUUGCCUGGGAACCUUCAUAGCCGAAAAGUCUCUAUAUUGCCACGGUUAAACGAAGCGUCUCUCGCUCUUGCCUCUCCAUUUGUCUCUUCUCAGUCUCACUCAAUCUAGCUUCAAAGGGCUGAGAUAAAACUCCAGGCGAAAUACCGUAGUGUGCAAAUGUUUGAGAAUUCAGUUCUUGCUGCAGUGUUUCAAUGUGUCAAAGUCCGAAGGAGAUCGAUUCUGAGUCGGGUUUUACCCUCGCUGUCACA